rnacentral:rRNA from 1 species
UACGUAGGGUGCGAGCGUUGUCCGGAAUUACUGGGCGUAAAGAGCUCGUAGGUGGUUUGUCGCGCUGUUCGUGAAAACUCACAGCUUAACUGUGGGCGUGCGGGCGAUACGGGCAGACUGGAGUACUGCAGGGGAGACUGGAAUUCCUGGUGGAGCGGUGAAAUGCGCAGAUAUCAGGAGGAACACCCGUAGCGAAGGCGGCACUCUGGGCCGAUUCUGACACUGAGGAGCGAAAGCGUGGGGAGCGAACAGG